rnacentral:rRNA from 1 species
GACGAACGCUGGCGGCGUGCUUAACACAUGCAAGUCGAGCGGUAAGGCCCUUUCGGGGGUACGCGAGCGGCGAACGGGUGAGUAACACGUGGGUGACCUGCCCUCAGUUCUGGGAUAAGCCUGGGAAACCGGGUCUAAUACUGGAUAUGACCUCAUGACGCAUGUUGUGGGGUGGAAAGCCUUGUGCGACUGAGGAUGGGCCCGCGGCCUAUCAGCUUGUUGGUGGGGUGAUGGCCUACCAAGGCGACGACGGGUAGCCGGCCUGAGAGGGCGACCGGCCACACUGGGACUGAGACACGGCCCAGACUCCUACGGGAGGCAGCAGUGGGGAAUCUUGCGCAAUGGGCGAAAGCCUGACGCAGCGACGCCGCGUGAGGGAUGACGGCCUGUU